GAUGAACGCUAGCGGCAGGCCUAACACAUGCAAGUCGAGGGGUAUAAAAGAGCUUGCUUUUUUAGAGACCGGCAAACGGGUGCGGAACACGUACGCAAUCUGCCCUUAUCACGGGGAUAGCCCAGAGAAAUUUGGAUUAAUACCCGAUAGUAUUAUAAUAAGGCAUCUUGUUGUAAUUAAAGCUAUGGCGGAUAAGGAUGAGCGUGCGCAAGAUUAGCUAGUUGGUGAGGUAACGGCUCACCAAGGCGACGAUCUUUAGCUGAUGUGAGAGCAUGAUCAGCCACACGGGCACUGAGACACGGGCCCGACUCCUACGGGAGGCAGCAGUGAGGAAUAUUGGUCAAUGGACGAAGUCUGACAGCCAUGCCGCGUGAAGGAUGAAGGACGUUCUGCGUUGUAAACUU
rnacentral:rRNA from 1 species